UACGUAGGUGACAAGCGUUGUCCGGAUUUACUGGGCGUAAAGAGCGCGCAGGCGGUCGUUCAAGUCGCGUGUGAAAGCCCCCGGCUCAACUGGGGAGGGUCACGCGAUACUGAUCGACUCGAAGGCAGGAGAGGGUAGUGGAAUUCCCGGUGUAGUGGUGAAAUGCGUAGAUAUCGGGAGGAACACCAGUGGCAAAGGCGACUACCUGGCCUGUUCUUGACGCUGAGGCGCGAAAGCUAGGGGAGCAAACGGG
rnacentral:rRNA from 1 species